rnacentral:rRNA from 1 species
UUUCCUACGGGAGGCAGCAGUGAGGAAUAUUGGUCAAUGGGCGGAAGCCUGAACCAGCCAAGUCGCGUGAGGGAAGAAGGCCCUGCGGGUCGCAGACCUCUUUGGACGGGGAGCAAGGCCGCCGACGUGUCGGCGGAAGGAGAGUACCCGUAGAUCAAGCAUCGGCUAACUCCGUGCCAGCAGCCGCGGUAAUACGGAGGAUGCGAGCGUUAUCCGGAUUUAUUGGGUUUAAAGGGUGCGCAGGCGGUCUGUUAAGUCAGCGGUCAAAGCCCGGGGCUCAACCCCGGCCCGCCGUUGAAACUGGC